rnacentral:misc_RNA from 1 species
AUAAAAUCUAAUAUGUUUUGGGUGGAACCGACAACCCCCAUUCCUCUCCUCUUGGCUUCCAUUGCCAAGGAAAACAUUUCUCCAGGGACCUCAAGGUGAGCAGUUAGGAAAGCAUCACAAUACAUAUCAUUUAUCUUAUCAACAACUUCAUUUCCAAAGAGAUGAUGAACAAUACAAGUUCCAUCCUGAUAAUAAUGCAAGCGAGGUAGCAAUGCUUUUAUGGUGUCUCUAUUAUGUGCCGCAUGUACUUCUGCAAUUUCCUCAUCUGUCAUCAUUGUCAUUCGUUGAAACAAUUUUGCAAUAUUGGCACCCAUGUAUGAAUCAGGCCCAUACCACACAUUUAAAUCUGGAAUUUGAGCAAAAGCCUG